UCCCUUUUCUUUUUGUCGUGUCGUCUUCUCUUUGUUUUUUCCGACGAUGGCAAUCAAUUGUUUGAAGGUCUUGAUUGUGAGGCUAAAGAGAAGAUCACUAGAGAGUUAGCUAAACUCGUGUUCGGAUCAUAAGAGAGCAUUGUCUCCAUCUGUUUGAGCAGUUUCUCAUUGAAAGAUUUGAGGAAUAAAAGGUCGAGAGAUGAGGAGAUCAAUUGGUUUCCGUUUGUGGAAGAUCUGAGCUUGACUAGUUCUAUGUUGGCUCUAGAACGUAGUGAAACCUCUUUCAGCAGUUGAAAAGAAAGGACAAGAUAAAUCAGGCUUGGUGUGUGUUUUACCUGAAUCAUAGAUUCCACGCGACGUCGCAUCCUGAUUUAAUGUUGAAGCAAGAUGUUGGCAAGUAUUCGAUAGGCAAAGAAAUUUAUGCAAGUCGAUUUUUUUUAAUGUAGCUUAUCAAUAUAAUUGACUGAUUUGUUCAACCUUUGUUUUGAAUGGGUUGAUGUCUCGCCUGGAGGGAUAAAGUGACUGAAGAUGGUGUCACCGUUGCUAGAGGCAUUGAGUUGAAGGAUAAAGUGACGAACGUUGGUGACCGAAACAUGACACAAGACGAGGCACAGACUUGGGUGAGAACGACAGAGGUGAGAAGUGUGUUGUGCUGAUGACAGAGGUGAGAAGUGUGUUGUGCUGAUGACAGAGGUGAGAAGACGAGUCACGGGUUGUGUAUCUUGUGGUGAAAAGUGGUGAGAAGAAGAGUGCUGAUGACAUAGAGAAUUCAGACCUUCAGGGAAAUUAGGUUUACUUGGUUUUCCUCCGUUUUUAUUUAUUAAAAUCGACGGUGUGAAUUUUGGUUCCCACAACACACAUCACUGAUGUCUUCCUAGCUUUCUCUUCCACUUCUUCUGUGAUUUGAGCAAAGCUGAGACGGGAAAGUCACGCCCACACAGCUAUGGAGAUAUUGGAGUUGAUCUUAUCCAAAGUUUCAUUUUUCCUUCAGGGAAUUUGAUUUAUUCUAUUUUCUUUUAAUUUUCUAGGUUAUAUUGGUAUUGUUUUAGUUGGUUUUAAGGUCUGUUUCAUGUUGAAAAAAAGAUAUGUUACUCUUAGCUGCUGCUAGAACUUAAAGAGCAGAGAAUCAAGAUGCUUUUGAUGCUGCUAUAUGGUUGGAAAACUUGCUUACUCUAAAGAGGCAAGAGUUUGUAUUAGAGAGAUUCACUACCUCCGAUUCAAUCCAGUUCACUUAUAUUGAUAGUAA